rnacentral:sRNA from 1 species
GUAACAAGGUCUCCGUUGGUGAACCAGCGGAGGGAUCAUUACCGAGUUAUACAACUCAUCAACCCUGUGAACAUACCUAAAACGUUGCUUCGGCGGGAACAGACGGCCCUGUAACAACGGGCCGCCCCCGCCAGAGGACCCCUAACUCUGUUUUUAUAAUGUUUUUCUGAGUAAACAAGCAAAUAAAUUAAAACUUUCAACAACGGAUCUCUUGGCUCUGGCAUCGAUGAAGAACGCAGCGAAAUGCGAUAAGUAAUGUGAAUUGCAGAAUUCAGUGAAUCAUCGAAUCUUUGAACGCACAUUGCGCCCGCCAGUAUUCUGGCGGGCAUGCCUGUUCGAGCGUCAUUACAACCCUCAGGCCCCCGGGCCUGGCGUUGGGGAUCGGCAGAAGCCCCCUGUGGGCACACGCCGUCCCUCAAAUACAGUGGCGGUCCCGCCGCAGCUUCCAUUGCGUAGUAGCUAACACCUCGCAACUGGAGAGCGGCGCGGCCAUGCCGUAAAACACCCAACUUCUGAAUGUUGACCUCGAAUCAGGUAGGAAUACCCGCUGAACUUAAGCAUAUCAAUAAGCGGAGGAAAAGAAACCAACAGGGAUUGCCCCAGUAACGGCGAGUGAAGCGGCAACAGCUCAAAUUUGAAAUCUGGCUCUCGGGCCCGAGUUGUAAUUUGUAGAGGAUGCUUUUGGUGAGGUGCCUUCCGAGUUCCCUGGAACGGGACGCCAUAGAGGGUGAGAGCCCCGUCUGGUUGGACACCGAUCC